AUUGAACGCUGGCGGCAUGCUUUACACGUGCAAGUCGAACGGCAGCGCGGGCUUCGGCCUGGCUGCGAGUGGCGAACGGGGGAGUAAUACAUCGGAAUGUGCCCAGCAGUGGUGGAUAGCCCGGCGAAAGCCGGAUUAAUACCGCAUACGACCUGAGGGUGAAAGCGGGGGACCGAAAGGCCUCGCCCUCUUGUGGCGGCCGAGGUCGGAUUAGUUAGUUGGUGGGGUAAGGGCUUACCAAGGCGACGAUCCGUAGCUGGUCUGAGAGGAGGACCAGCCGCACUGGGACUGGGACACGGACCAGACUCCUACGGGAGGCAGCAGUGGGGAAUGUUGGACAAUGGGGGCAACCAUGACCCAGCGAGGCCGCGUGCGAGAAGAAGGCCUUCGGGUUGUAAACCGCUUUUGUGGGGGAAGAACUGCUCUCGGCUAAUACCCCGGGGGGAUGACGGUACCGGAAGAAUAAGCACCGGCUAACUACGUG
rnacentral:rRNA from 1 species